GACGAACCGUACGAACGUUAUUCGGAAUUACUGGGCUUAAAGGGUGCGUAGGCGGCGCGGAAAGUAGGGUGUGAAAUCCCUCGGCUCAACCGAGGAACUGCGCCCUAAACUACCGUGCUCGAGGGAGGUAGAGGUGAGCGGAACUGAGGGUGGAGCGGUGAAAUGCGUUGAUAUCCUCAGGAACACCGGUGGCGAAGGCGGGUCUCUGGGCCGAUAUUGACGCUGAGGAGCGAAAGCGUGGGGAGCGAACAGG
rnacentral:rRNA from 1 species